AGUGAACGCUGGCGGUAGGCCUAACACAUGCAAGUCGAACGGCAGCACAGUAAGAGCUUGCUCUUACGGGUGGCGAGUGGCGGACGGGUGAGGAAUACAUCGGAAUCUACUUUUUCGUGGGGGAUAACGUAGGGAAACUUACGCUAAUACCGCAUACGACCUACGGGUGAAAGCAGGGGAUCUUCGGACCUUGCGCGAUUGAAUGAGCCGAUGUCGGAUUAGCUAGUUGGCGGGGUAAAGGCCCACCAAGGCGACGAUCCGUAGCUGGUCUGAGAGGAUGAUCAGCCACACUGGAACUGAGACACGGUCCAGACUCCUACGGGAGGCAGCAGUGGGGAAUAUUGGACAAUGGGCGCAAGCCUGAUCCAGCCAUACCGCGUGGGUGAAGAAGGCCUUCGGGUUGUAAAGCCCUUUUGUUGGGAAAGAAAAGCAGCAGGCUAAUACCCCGCUGUUCUGACGGUACCCAAAGAAUAAGCACCGGCUAACUUCGU
rnacentral:rRNA from 1 species